rnacentral:rRNA from 1 species
AUACAGGGGGAUAACAGUCAGAAAUGACUGCUAAUACCGCAUAAGCGCACAGAGCUGCAUGGCUCGGUGUGAAAAACUCCGGUGGUAUAAGAUGGACCCGCGUUGGAUUAGCUAGUUGGUGAGGUAACGGCCCACCAAGGCGACGAUCCAUAGCCGGCCUGAGAGGGUGAACGGCCACAUUGGGACUGAGACACGGCCCAGACUCCUACGGGAGGCAGCAGUGGGGAAUAUUGCACAAUGGGGGAAACCCUGAUGCAGCGACGCCGCGUGAAGGAAGAAGUAUCUCGGUAUGUAAACUUCUAUCAGCAGGGAAGAAUUAGGACGGUACCUGACUAAGAAGCCCCGGCUAACUACGUGCCAGCAGCCGCGGUAAUACGUAGGGGGCAAGCGUUAUCCGGAUUUACUGGGUGUAAAGGGAGCGUAGACGGAUGGACAAGUCUGAUGUGAAAGGCUGGGGCUCAACCCCGGGACUGCAUUGGAAACUGCCCGUCUUGAGUGCCGGAGAGGUAAGCGGAAUUCCUAGUGUAGCGGUGAAAUGCGUAGAUAUUAGGAGGAACACCAGUGGCGAAGGCGGCUUACUG